GACGAACGCUGGCGGCGUGCUUAACACAUGCAAGUCGAACGGAAAGGCCCUGCUUUUGUGGGGUGCUCGAGUGGCGAACGGGUGAGUAACACGUGAGUAACCUGCCCUUGACUUUGGGAUAACUUCAGGAAACUGGGGCUAAUACCGGAUAGGAGCUCCUGCUGCAUGGUGGGGGUUGGAAAGUUUCGGCGGUUGGGGAUGGACUCGCGGCUUAUCAGCUUGUUGGGGGGGUAGUGGCUUACCAAGGGUUUGACGGGUAGCCGGCCUGAGAGGGUGACCGGCCACAUUGGGACUGAGAUACGGCCCAGACUCCUACGGGAGGCAGCAGUGGGGAAUAUUGCACAAUGGGCGGAAGCCUGAUGCAGCAACGCCGCGUGCGGGAUGACGGCCUUCGGGUUGUAAACCGCUUUCGCCUGUGACGAAGCGUGAGUGACGGUAAUGGGUAAAGAAGCACCGGCUAACUACGUG
rnacentral:rRNA from 1 species